GCUGAAGCAAAAAAUUGCUGCCUGAAGAUGAUAUAGCUGACAUCUAUAUUCUAGUAGUUCAAGCAAGCCAUGGUAUCCUGUGCAAUGGAUUACUGAGAAUGAGGUACUUUCAGAUGAUUCGUUUUAAGGUGUCAGAAAUCAGCAGACAGUUGUUGAAAGUCUUCCCCACUAGAACAAGGAUCUCUAAUCUUUUUACUCUAGCUGACACACAGAAGGAAAAAGCUCCAGGAGAUGGAAAGGUUCCCACCCAGAAGGCAAAAGGUAUACAGAGUGCUUGGGUGAAAAGUGGCUCAGAAGCUGCAGUCACCAACUCCCUGCUCAAGUGCUGCUGUUAUCCAUCCAUGGUCUGGAUAACUGUUUGGACAGCAGUUUUGUUGGCAC
ensembl:lncRNA